UAGGGAAUCUUCCGCAAUGGGCGAAAGCUUGACGGAGCAACGCCUCGUGAGUGAUGAAGGUCUUCGGAUCGUAAAACUCUGUUAUUAGGGAAGAACAAAUGUGUAAGUAACUAUGCACGUCUUGACGGUACCUAAUCAGAAAGCCACGGCUAACUACGUGCCAGCAGCCGCGGUAAUACGUAGGUGGCAAGCGUUAUCCGGAAUUAUUGGGCGUAAAGCGCGCGUAGGCGGUUUUUUAAGUCUGAUGUGAAAGCCCACGGCUCAACCGUGGAGGGUCAUUGGAAACUGGAAAACUUGAGUGCAGAAGAGGAAAGUGGAAUUCCAUGUGUAGCGGUGAAAUGCGCAGAGAUAUGGAGGAGCACCAGUGGCGAAGGCGACUUUCUGGUCUGUAACUGACGCUGAUGUGCGAAAGCGUGGGGAUCAAACAGG
rnacentral:rRNA from 1 species